GACGAACGCUGGCGGCGUGCUUAACACAUGCAAGUCGAACGGAAAGGCCCUGCUUUUGUGGGGUGCUCGAGUGGCGAACGGGUGAGUAACACGUGAGUAACCUGCCCUUGACUUUGGGAUAACUUCAGGAAACUGGGGCUAAUACCGGAUAGGAGCUCCUGCUGCAUGGUGGGGGUUGGAAAGUUUCGGCGGUUGGGGAUGGACUCGCGGCUUAUCAGCUUGUUGGUGGGGUAGUGGCUUACCAAGGCUUUGACGGGUAGCCGGCCUGAGAGGGUGACCGGCUACAUUGGGACUGAGAUACGGCCCAGACUCCUACGGGAGGCAGCAGUGGGGAAUAUUGCACAAUGGGCGGAAGCCUGAUGCAGCAACGCCGCGUGCGGGAUGACGGCCUUCGGGUUGUAAACCGCUGUCGCCUGUGACGAAGCGUGAGUGACGGUAAUGGAUAAAGAAGCACCGGCUAACUACGUG
rnacentral:rRNA from 1 species